UUACAGUUGUUCAACCAGUUACUAAUCUACCUAAUUGUAACUGGUUGAACAACUGAACCC
rnacentral:pre_miRNA from 1 species